UCUAGUCAGCUAUGAAGUCAGAUAAUACAUCAGCUAAAAUGUCAAAAAAUCAAUGAGUUAUUAGAAACUAAAAAUAUCAACUCUAGUAAUUAUUCAAAAUUCACAAUGAGCGACAAGGAACCGCAAAUAAAAACCAUCCCACAAGACGCAAGAUAUCACAACUGUAACGCAACCAAAUGGUGUUUUGCUACCUUUGUUGAUUUCCAUAAAUGUAAAAGACUCCUAGGGGACGGAAACGAUUGCUGCAACCAAUUUUCCCAAAUUUAUAAAGCCAUUUGUCCCAAUGAGUGGAUAAAACGAUGGGAAGAACAAAUGGAAGUUGGAACUUUUCCUGUCGAUUUACCUUCAAAAAACAAUGAUUGUAAACAAUAUUUAAAAAAAUAAAUGUUUCUGAAUGAAAUGUAA